AGGGAUAGCCGUAUCACCCUGUAGCCCAAGACUGGUUGCCCACUGAAGCUAAGCAGGGCUGAGCCUGGUCAGUACCUGGAUGGGAGACCUCCUGGGAAAACUAGGUUGCUGCUG
rnacentral:rRNA from 1 species